CCUACGGGAGGCAGCAGUGAGGAAUAUUGGUCAAUGGGCGCGAGCCUGAACCAGCCAAGCAGCGUGAAGGAUGACUGCCCUACGGGUUGUAAACUUCUUUUAUAAAGGAAUAAAGUGAGGCACGUGUGCCUUUUUGUAUGUACUUUAUGAAUAAGGAUCGGCUAACUCCGUGCCAGCAGCCGCGGUAAUACGGAGGAUCCGAGCGUUAUCCGGAUUUAUUGGGUUUAAAGGGUGCGUAGGUGGGUUGUUAAGUCAGUUGUGAAAGUUCGCGGCUCAACCGUAAAAUUGCAGUUGAUACUGGCAGUCUAGAGUACAGUUGAGGUAGGCGGAAUGCGUGGUGUAGCGGUGAAAUGCUUAGAUAUCACGCAGAACUCCGAUUGCGAAGGCAGCUUACUAGACUGCCACUGACAUUGAUGCUCGAAAGUGUGGGUAUCAAACAGGAUUAGAUACCCCAGUAGUC
rnacentral:rRNA from 1 species